GGCUUAGUAGUUUAUAUUAAAACGAUUGGUUGUUACCCAGUAGUAAAAAAGAUGGUUUUCUAAGUUU
rnacentral:tRNA from 1 species